GAAGCGAAACAGCGAAAACGGGGCUUUUUCACGCAAACACACACAGGUUUCGCUGAACCUGUGUGUUUUCAGGAGAAGAACUACUUAACGUGAGAUCUGCACUUUUACCUGGAUGAAGUUGAAAGCAGCUGAAGUGUUAUGUUGAAACACUGCAGUAAUAUUCAAUGUCCAUAUAGGCAAUACAGCGCUUUUCUGGCUAGGGACUGACAUGACAGCAGGACCAGUAAAUUCAGAUGUCCGUCCAGUUGUGGCUUGCUGAAGGACACAUCGACCGCCUGAUUGG